CCUACGGGAGGCAGCAGUGGGGAAUAUUGGACAAUGGGCGAAAGCCUGAUCCAGCAAUGCCGCGUGAGUGAUGAAGGCCUUAGGGUCGUAAAGCUCUUUUACCAGGGAUGAUAAUGACAGUACCUGGAGAAUAAGCUCCGGCUAACUCCGUGCCAGCAGCCGCGGUAAUACGGAGGGAGCUAGCGUUGUUCGGAAUUACUGGGCGUAAAGCGUGCGUAGGCGGUUAUUCAAGUCAGAGGUGAAAGCCCGGGGCUCAACCCCGGAACGGCCUUUGAAACUAGAUAACUAGAAUCUUGGAGAGGUCAGUGGAAUUCCGAGUGUAGAGGUGAAAUUCGUAGAUAUUCGGAAGAACACCAGUGGCGAAGGCGACUGACUGGACAAGUAUUGACGCUGAGGUACGAAAGCGUGGGGAGCAAACAGGAUUAGAUACCCUGGUAGUCCACGCCGUAAACGAUGAUAACUAGCUGUCCGGACACUUGGUGUUUGGGUGGCGCGAGCUACGACAUUAAGUUAUACCGUCCGUCGGGUAGGUACGGUCGCGAGAAUUAAACUAACUAAUAGAAGUUAGACGGCGUGAGACGUGCCGACGGACGACGACGACGGGAGGUAGG
rnacentral:rRNA from 1 species